rnacentral:rRNA from 1 species
AGUGAACGCUGGCGGUAGGCCUAACACAUGCAAGUCGAACGGCAGCACAGUAAGAGCUUGCUCUUACGGGUGGCGAGUGGCGGACGGGUGAGGAAUACAUCGGAAUCUACUUUUUCGUGGGGGAUAACGUAGGGAAACUUACGCUAAUACCGCAUACGACCUACGGGUUAAAGCAGGGGAUCUUCGGACCUUGCGCGAUUGAAUGAGCCGAUGUCGGAUUAGCUAGUUGGCGGGGUAAAGGCCCACCAAGGCAACGAUCCGUAGCUGGUCUGAGAGGAUGAUCAGCCACACUGGAACUGAGACACGGUCCAGACUCCUACGGGAGGCAGCAGUGGGGAAUAUUCGGCAAUGGGCGCAAGCCUGAUCCAGCCACACCGCGUGGGUGAAGAAGGCCUUCGGGUCGUAAAGCCCUUUUGUUGGGAAAGAAAAGCAGCAGGUUAAUACCCCGCUGUUCUGACGGUACCCAAAGAAUAAGCACCGGCUAACUUCGUG